rnacentral:rRNA from 1 species
AGUGAACGCUGGCGGUAGGCCUAACACAUGCAAGUCGAACGGCAGCACAGUGAGAGCUCGCUCUUACGGGUGGCGAGUGGCGGACGGGUGAGGAAUACAUCGGAAUCUACUUUUUCGUGGGGGAUAACGUAGGGAAACUUACGCUAAUACCGCAUACGACCUACGGGUGAAAGCAGGGGAUCUUCGUACCUUGCGCGAUUGAAUGAGCCGAUGUCGGAUUAGCUAGUUGGCGGGGUAAAGGCCCACCAAGGCGACGAUCCGUAGCUGGUCUGAGAGGAUGAUCAGCCACACUGGAACUGAGACACGGUCCAGACUCCUACGGGAGGCAGCAGUGGGGAAUAUUGGACAAUGGGCGCAAGCCUGAUCCAGCCAUACCGCGUGGGUGAAGAAGGCCUUCGGGUUUUAAAGCCCUUUUGUUGGGAAAGAAAAGCAGCAGGUUAAUACCCCGCUGUUCUGACGGUACCCAAAGAAUAAGCACCGGCUAACUUCGUG